ACACAAAAACAAAGCUUCCCUUUUGCCAUUACAAGAACAAAAUCAAAGCCAAACCACAAAAGCUCCAAUGGCUAUGAACAAACGCGUCCUCGUCCUCGUUCUCGUCUUCGUUCUUCUUUGUUCUUUCUCAAACAAAGUUAUUGCAUCAAGAAGCUUGGGAGUGCCUCAAAUUAAGAAAGAUGAUCAUAAGCUUAAAGGAAAUGAUGAUCUUGCAGUUCAUGAGGAAGAACAUUUUUCAAGCACAGAUGAUUUGGGCGCAAUGGAUUAUACUCCAGCGUCCAAGAAGCCUCCAAUCCACAAUUGAGAGUUUAUUUCAUUAGUAAUUUGUAUGAUAUUUUUACAUCUGCCUUUCUCCUUUUUAUAUUUUUUGGUUAAAGUGAAGCUUCUAGUAAUGAAUUAUAUAGAAAUGGAAGAUAUGAGCAAACCAUGAAACAAUGGGGUUUCUUA